UCUGGGAUAGCUCAGUCGGUAGAGCGUGAGGCUCUUAAUCACAGGGUUGUGGGUUCAAACCCCACUUUGGGCA
rnacentral:tRNA from 1 species